ACACAUGCAAGUCGAACGGAAACGAUGGGAGCUUGCUCCCCAGGCGUCGAGUGGCGGACGGGUGAGUAAUACUUAGGAAUCUGCCCAGUAGUGGGGGACAACUCGGGGAAACUCGAGCUAAUACCGCAUACGCCCCAAGGGGGAGAGCGGAGGAUCUUUCGGGACUUCGCGCUAUUGGAUGAGCCUAAGUCGGAUUAGCUUGUUGGUGAGGUAAAGGCUCACCAAGGCGACGAUCCGUAGCUGGUCUGAGAGGACGAUCAGCCACACUGGGACUGAGACGCGGCCCAGACUCCUACGGGAGGCAGCAGUGGGGAAUAUUGGACAAUGGGGGCAACCCUGAUCCAGCAAUGCCGCGUGUGUGAAGAAGGCCUGCGGGUUGUAAAGCACUUUCAGUAGAGAAGAAAAGCCUCGGGUUAAUACCCCUGGGUCUUGACGUUACCUACAGAAGAAGCUCCGGCUAACUCCGUGCCAGCAGCCGCGGUAAUACGGAGGGAGCGAGCGUUAAUCGGAAUUACUGGGCGUAAAGCGCGCGUAGGCGGCUUUGUAAGUCGGAUGUGAAAGCCCUGGGCUCAACCUGGGAAUGGCAUUCGAUACUGCAUAACUAGAGUAUGGUAGAGGGAAGUGGAAUUUC
rnacentral:rRNA from 1 species